rnacentral:rRNA from 1 species
UAAGGAAUAUUGGGCAAUGGACGCAAGUCUGACCCAGCCAUGCCGCGUGAAGGAUGACGGCCCUAUGGGUUGUAAACUUCUUUUGUACGGGAAUAAACCCAGGUACGUGUACCUGGCUGAAUGUACCGUAAGAAUAAGGAUCGGCUAACUCUGUG